ACUCUGUACAACUUGUUCUGGGAAAUUGUGAAAAUAGCAAUAUUGAGGAAAAAAAAAUCUGCCUGAAAAAAACUCACCAGUGUUUUUACCAGGUUCAUUUCUCAAGAUCAUAUAAGGAGGUCAUAAAGAGCACAGAAUUUAGAUCCAGACUUGAAUUCCAUCUGCACUGGUCACAAGCUAAGUGACCUUGGACAGGUUAAAGCAUGACAAAUUCUCAGAUGCUGCGGGUAUCCGGAGGAAGUGUUCCUAGUCCUUCCUGGAAGAGGUGAUAUCUGAGCUGAUUCUUGGGAGUGAGAUGCUGUUCCCGCAGAAAGAACAGCAUGUACAAGGACUUAUGCUGGAGAGCAAUGAACAUUCUUGGAACACCGUGGAGUUCGGCAUAACUGGGGAAAAGAGGGCAGUUGAAGAAUGUGGAAAUUUGCAACAAAUCUAAAACAGCUUAAAAUCACGGGUUUUUGUAAAUAAAGAGCUUUGCAGUCAUCAUGUUUUCUGGUUUUUUUACGGGCUGUCAUUCCAGACCA